UUUCUUUUCUUUUCUUUCUGCGUUUUUUUAACUCUUCCUGUUUGGUUGCUGAGAAAAAGGAUGGUAAAAAAUAAAGAGAGAGAGAGAGAGAGAGAGAGAGAGAGAGAGAGAGAGAGAGAGUAAACCCACUACGCUGACAAACAAGCAGGACAGACAUCAUCAUGAGAAGUCCCUCAUUAAUAUUUAACCAGAAACAACCAAUGGCACCAAUAAGAUGGAUGGUUGAAUGUCAUUGUCCUGAAUGAAGUUGUAAACAAGAACAACACAGGUGAUGUGGUUUUUGCACUUGGUUUUCAUUACAACAUAUGGUGGGAUUGCUGAACUUUUUCAGGAUGUUGGUUUUCUCAAAACUAAAAUAAUCAUCAGUAUAGGUUUUUGCUUUACAUCAGCUUUCUGGAAACCACGUAUUACAGUGUAGUAUCCCUGUUAAAGGAGCGCGUGUUUUUGCUAUUUUGCAAGCAUUGAUAGAGUUAUUGUGGAUUUUCACAUCAAACUGAUAUUAAUUAUCUAUUAAACUGCCUUAAAAUGGAUUUGUUGA